CGUUAAUCUUCUCAAGAGAAUAUUUAACUUACAGUGCCAUUAAUUUAAGUUCAUUUUUACUUGCACAUACACUCGGUUCUUUGCAAAGUAUCUUGACUCUCUUUCAAAGUGUGAUGAAAUUUCAAUUUCUAACCAAAUCGAUCAGAACUUUCCAAUGGUCGUAUCUACACUGUCAAGAGUAAUUCUGGAUUCAGAUCAACGUGGUCUCUGGCCAAACGGUGGCAAAACAAUGGUCUUCAAAAGAAAUUCUUGUGAACUGAGAAAAAGAAAACUUUGAUAUAGAUGACCGGUAAACAAAGCAAGCGCACUGCAGAAUUGGAGAUGAAGAUAUAGACAAAAACUACAUAUUACAUGAAGAAAGAUGCAAUGUUAACAAAAUAGAGAACGAGAGUUAGGGAACACCCUUACAAGGCCCGAAGAAACUUUAGAAGCACCACAAGGAAAAAUAAAGGAAAAUGUGGUAAUAACUGCUACUAGAAGUCAAAUUAAAGAAAAAAGCAGGUUUAAGAAACUGGGAUGAUAGGGGAGACAAGAAGACUCAUGUCUACUAUCUACUGACGUAAUUUCAU